CGUACGCAAUUUUGUAGUUCUCGAUGGAAAUCUGAAAUUAAAAAUCAUCAAUCAUUUUGCUAGAAAGACAUCAGUCUAUUACCGCGAUUUUUUUAAAUGAUGGCUUCUCUUCUCCAGAUCGCGUCAGAUACCAUCAAUAGAUUUCAUCAGUCGGGUCGUUGGGAGACAUGUUUGGCGGAAUGGCCAUCACGCUUUGUUUUGUUUUUCUUUUUGAAAGCACAUUUUCUUUCCUCUCGCCUUGCCCACCACACACAUUUUACGUCGAUGUUGGCACACAUUCACUACCAGACACACGGGCAAGUUACAAGAAGAAAGUAAGGCA